rnacentral:rRNA from 1 species
AUACGUAGGGUGCAAGCGUUAUCCGGAAUCAUUGGGCGUAAAGAGCUCGUAGGCGGUUCAGCAAGUCGGCUGUGAAAUUCCGAGGCUCAACCUCGGAACUGCAGUCGAUACUGCUGUGACUAGAGUCCGGUAGAGGAGAGUGGAAUUCCCGGUGUAGCGGUGAAAUGCGCAGAUAGCGGGAGGAACACCAGCAGCGAAGGCGGCUCUCUGGGCCGGCACUGACGCUGAGGAGCGAAAGCGUGGGGAGCAAACAGGAGUAGAAACCCGGGUAGUCC